AUGGCGGUGGUGGCGUGCCCGUUCCCCGAGACGACCCGCGGCCUGCUCUCCAAGCCCUUCUACGCGUCGGUCGCCGGUGACAGGCUCUUCGUCAUGGCCUACCGGCACGUGGAGGAGCUCGGCCCGCAGCCGCCGCACGACGACGACCGGCCCCCGCCCGCCUGGUCCUGGUCCGGGGUCGACGACGCGGUCCCGCCCUUCUGCCCCCAGUACGUCACCUGCCAGGCGCGGCACCCGGACGGGCGCACCGUGUUCGCGUCGGUCGCGGGGUGGCGGCCCGGCGGCGCGCAGAUCCGACAGCAGAGCACCUACUCGUUCGACGCCGACCGCCGCGGGUUCCGCUACCACGGCGAGUGGCUGCUGCCGUUCCGCGGGGAGGCGCACUACGACGGCGAGCUGGACGCGUGGGUCGGGCUCGCCGACGAGGCGGCGCCUGGGCACGUCGCGUCGUGCGACGUGCCGUCGAGGCGGGCCGAGCCCGCCGGCGAGGCCAGCGAGGGGCCGGACUGCAAGGUCAGCGAGGAGAGGCUGUUCGACUUCGACUUCGAGUCGGCGGGGCACCUCGGGGCCACGCUGGUGUACAUGGGAGGAGGCAGCAGGUACUGCCUGGUUGAGUGCUGCGCGCAGAGCGGUGACGACGACGACGACCCGCGCUGCCGCCGCCGGGUGGUGCGGAUGACCACCUUCGCUCUCAAGUACGGCAAGAAGGGGGAGCUCCGGAUCGUCGGCCGUGGGGGGAGCGCAUCCAUGGCGUACACGGUGGCUCAUGACAUGAUCAAUCCGCCGACACAGAGUCCUACCGCGUUCUGGAUGUAA
rnacentral:rRNA from 1 species